UACGGGGGGAGCAAGCGUUGUUCGGAUUUACUGGGCGUAAAGGGCGCGUAGGCGGCCACGACAAGUCACUUGUGAAAUCUCCGGGCUUAACUCGGAGCGGUCAAGUGAUACUGUCGGGCUAGAGUACAGAAGGGGCAACUGGAAUUCUCGGUGUAGCGGUGAAAUGCGUAGAUAUCUGGAGGAACACCGGUGGCGAAGGCGGCAUCCUGGACCGACACUGACACUGAGGAGCGAAAGCCAGGGGAGCAAACGGG
rnacentral:rRNA from 1 species